rnacentral:rRNA from 1 species
AGCAGGCGCGAAAUCUUUACAAUGCGGGAAACCGCGAUAAGGGGACACCGAGUGCCAGCAUUUAUGUUGGCUGUCCACAUGUGUAAACGGCAUGUGUUAGCAAGGGCCGGGCAAGACCGGUGCCAGCCGCCGCGGUAACACCGGCGGCCCGAGUGGUAAUCACUUUUAUUGGGUCUAAAGGGUCCGUAGCCGGUUUGAUCAGUUCUUCGGGAAAUCUGACAGCUCAACUGUUAGGCUUCCGGGGAAUACUGUCAGAC